rnacentral:rRNA from 1 species
GGGGAAUUUUCCGCAAUGGGCGAAAGCCUGACGGAGCAAUACCGCGUGAGGGAGGAAGGCUCUUGGGUUGUAAACCUCUUUUCUCAGGGAAGAAAAAAAUGACGGUACCUGAGGAAUAAGCAUCGGCUAACUCCGUGCCAGCAGCCGCGGUAAUACGGAGGAUGCAAGCGUUAUCCGGAAUGAUUGGGCGUAAAGCGUCCGCAGGUGGCUGUGUAAGUCUGCUGUUAAAGAGUGAGGCUCAACCUCAUAAGAGCAGUGGAAACUACACAGCUAGAGUGCGUUCGGGGCAGAGGGAAUUCCUGGUGUAGCGGUGAAAUGCGUAGAGAUCAGGAAGAACACCGAUGGCGAAAGCGCUCUGCUAGGCCGCAACUGACACUGAGGGACGAAAGCUAGGGGAGCGAAUGGGAUUAGAUACCCCAGUAGUCCUAGCCGUAAACGAUGGAUACUAGGCGUGGCUUGUAUCGACCCGAGCCGUGCCGUAGCUAACGCGUUAAGUAUCCCGCCUGGGGAGUACGCAGGCAACUGUGAAACUCAAAGGAAUUGACGGGGGCCCGCACAAGCGGUGGAGUAUGUGGUUUAAUUCGAUGCAACGCGAAGAACCUUACCAAGACUUGACAUGUCGCGAAUCCCUGUGAAAGUAGGGAGUGCCUUCGGGAGCGCGAACACAGGUGGUGCAUGGCUGUCGUCAGCUCGUGUCGUGAGAUGUUGGGUUAAGUCCCGCAACGAGCGCAACCCUCGUUUUUAGUUGCCAGCAUUAAGUUGGGCACUCUAGAGAGCCUGCCGGUGACAAACCGGAGGAAGGUGGGGAUGACGUCAAGUCAGCAUGCCCCUUACGUCUUGGGCUACACACGUACUACAAUGCUACGGACAAAGGGCAGCAAACUAGCGAUAGCAAGCAAAUCUCAUAAACCGUAGCUCAGUUCAGAUCGCAGGCUGCAACUCGCCUGCGUGAAGGAGGAAUCGCUAGUAAUUGCAGGUCAGCAUACUGCAGUGAAUUCGUUCCCGGGCCUUGUACACACCGCCCGUCACACCAUGGAAGCUGGUCACGCCCGAAGUCAUUACUCCAACCAUUCGUGGGGGAGGAUGCCGAAGGCAGGACUGGUGACUGGGGUGAAGUCGUAACAAGGUAGCCGUACCGGAAGGUGUGGCUGGAUCACCUCCUUUUAGGGAGACCUACCCAACUCAGAUAUCAAUUGCCCAGAGCUUGUAGAUAUUGAGAUGGUCUACUCUAGGUCGGUCGAGAUUUGUUGAGAGCUUUCAAAGUUUUGUGUGUUCGGUAAUCAAGAUAAUUGCAAACAUGACGUGGAAAGGUAAAAACUCAGCAAUUGACAGUAGUCAAACUGCUGGGAGAAAACCAGCCAGAACCUUGAAAACUGCAUAGUAACGCGAAAUUAGCAGGCAGACGAAGUCUCAGUGAUGAAUGCCGAGUGGAGGGUGCUCAAUAAAAGCAGUGCAGUUCACAAGGGAAACAGAACGGGGAAAAGUUUGCAGAUGUAAAACCAAAUCAAAUGAGCGGUCAAGCUAAUAAGGGCUGAUGGUGGAUACCUAGGCACACAGAG